UACGUAGGUGGCAAGCGUUACUCGGAAUCACUAGGCGUAAAGCGCAGGUAGGCGGUUUAGUAAGUCUGUUGUGAAAGCUCCCGGCUUAACUGGGAGAGGUCAACGGAAACUGCUAGGCUAGAGUGCGGUAGAGGAAGGUGGAAUUCCCGGUGUAGCGGUGAAAUGCGUAGAUAUCGGGAGGAAUACCUAUGGCGAAAGCAGCCUUCUGGACCGUCACUGACGCUGAGCUGCGAAAGCUAGGGGAGCAAACAGG
rnacentral:rRNA from 1 species